GCUCGGCCUCCAGGCGCUGCAGCUUAAGGUCGGACAGGGCGUCAAGGCUACGGGAGCUCUGAAGGGUCAACGCUGGGCAGUCAAGCACUGGGAGAAAGGAGAAGAGGCUUCAACAUUUGUACCAACUGAGGGUCAGCAAUGAAGUUGGGUCAGCACAGAAACUCCAGCUCCUCUCACCUCUGCACAGCAACCCAGACAAAAAGCGUGAUACAAACUCCUGAGGUCUUCAGCUCGUCUGGUCUCCUAUGAUUUUUUUGACACCUCUGCCAGUUGAGUAAUAUUAAUGUUUGUUCUCCAGCUAGCCAAGGAUCAAAGCCGACCAAUCACAGAGCAUGAAAGUUCCCUCUUUCAUCUUUUUUGUGCACAAUCUCACUUCUUCAAUAAAAUGGAAAACGCUAAAGAUCUUCAGCUUCCUCUUGAUACUGGUGUUCUCCCGCUCCAGGCAGGCCAGCCUGGUCUUGAUGUCCUGAUAGGCGGUG